rnacentral:rRNA from 1 species
AUGGCGCCACUGCCUCACUGUAGCUGCGGUUGUGCUUGCUGCUGCACCUCCUGCCGGCCCCUGCUGAUGCAUGGCCACCUCAUCAGCAAGCUCACUUCCGCCCCUCCUGUGCUGCACCCCUGCCGGCCUCGCCGGAAUUCAUCAAGUUCAGCACCACCGCGCCCUCGGACCUCCCUUGUUACCCGUGCCAUUGCCGUUCGUCUUCAACCGCGGGACCACUGCUUCGUCAUCCACCUCGGCUCUGGCCACCAUGGACGCCUCUUGCCCAAGCUCUUCCUCCUGUGGGGUGUAGAGAUGCACCACCACCACCUCGAGGCCCCUUGCAGUCUUCGUUUCGAAACGCCAAGAAGCCGAUGGCACUAG